GCCGGUGACUUUGUUCCCUGUUCCUCUCUUUCUUCUAACAAGUUCAUCUUUUUCUUUUCUCCUUCUUCUAAUCUACUUAAGUGAUUGUUCGGAAGCUUCCUAGUUAACCAUUCCAACCCCAUCUUCUUUCUCUUCACAACUUCCAUUUUUUUUUAAGCCAUUUCUCUUUCACGUAAAGAAUCUUAAUCAAUCAUGUGAUGGAGGAAUUUGGGGUAAUUUUCUUGCGAUUAGAAUUCUGAAUCGAUUAUGGUGAUGGGGAAAUUUGGGAUAAUUUUCUGGGUUUAGGGUAGAAAAAAUAAAUUGGGGAAUUUGGGGGA
rnacentral:lncRNA from 1 species